CGGGGCGUAGCGCAGCUUGGUUAGCGCGCAGCGUUUGGGACGCUGAGGUCGGCGGUUCGAAUCCGCCCGCCCCGA
rnacentral:tRNA from 1 species